rnacentral:rRNA from 1 species
AUACGGAGGGGGUUAGCGUUGUUCGGAAUUACUGGGCGUAAAGCGUACAUAGGCGGACUGGAAAGUUGGGGGUGAAAUCCCGGGGCUCAACCCCGGAACUGCCUCCAAAACUUCCAAUCUAGAGAUCGAGAGAGGUGAGUGGAAUUCCAAGUGUAGAUGUGAAAUUCGUAGAUAUUUGGAGGAACACCAGUGGCGAAGGCGGCUCACUGGCUCGAUACUGACGCUGAGGUACGAAAGCGUGGGGAGCAAACAGGAUUAGAAACCCUAGUAGUCC